rnacentral:rRNA from 1 species
AGGAGGUUGGCUUAGAAGCAGCCACCCUUUAAAGAAAGCGUAAUAGCUCACUGGUCGAGUCGGUCUGCGCGGAAGAUUUAACGGGGCUAAGCGAUGAACCGAAGCUUGGGGUGCAUACUUCGUAUGCGCGGUAGAGGAGCGUUCCGUAAGCCGUUGAAGGUGGAUUGAGAAGUCCGCUGGAGGUAUCGGAAGUGCGAAUGCUGACAUGAGUAACGAUAAUGCGGGUGAAAAGCCCGCACGCCGAAAGCCCAAGGUUUCCUUGCGCAACGUUAAUCGACGCAGGGUGAGUCGGCCCCUAAGGCGAGGCAGAAAUGCGUAGUCGAUGGGAAGCUGGUUAAUAUUCCAGCACCUCGCGUAAGUGCGAUGGAGGGACGGAGAAGGUUAGGUCUACCGGGCGUUGGUUGUCCCGGGGAAAGGCGGUAGGUUUGGAUCUUAGGCAAAUCCG